GUGCUGUUUUUGUUCCAGUGAUCUCAGCAGUGUCAGUAUCAUACAGGGGACAUAAAAGGACAUAAUAUUAUCAUUGCAAGUUCUUGGACAGUUCUAGGCUGAACUGUGUCAAACUCAAAGUUGUACUCUGAUACGUAAAAUGAGAACAGGUCAUAAUUUAAGGUUGCCUAAUUCCAUACCGCGUGUGUCAGACCUCAUGAUGCGCCUACAUUUAACUCUGGUUUAGGUAUUUGCCAAUAACUUGCUAGCACAUGGUGCACCAGCCCUCUUCCUCCUUGGUCAAAAUAUUCCCAGUAGAAAAAAAUAUUAGAUUUGGCUUUUGCAGAUCAUGCUCAUACAACAGAUGAGGCAUCUGCAUCGUGAGAGACUGCCCUGCUGUGAAUGAAAAAGCGGAAUCCAAACCCAGGUCUUCUCAACGCCAAACAGAAAUCCAGUAACGGUGGAAAGACGCCAUGCCUUCCUCACGAUCCGCUGUGAACUGAACUCCUUUACAUCCAUUUGUGUACACUCACCUCUGCUCUAAAAGGGAAAAAGACAUUUGACAGAUGAGUCCGCACCCUGAUUUUCACAGGAUCUUCUUCAGGUUGCAGCUCUGGGUCUGGCCUCCCCUUCUUUUUGUCCCCCGAUAUUCAUUGCUCCUCUUCCACACCAGUGGGAUUUUAGCUGGGGACAUGUCUGCUCGGAAUACAGACUGUGUAUCUCAGCCUCCCUUGCAGCUACGUGUGAUUAAGCUGCCCGGCAGUAUGUGAGCAAGAAUGCUGUAUGUGAGCAUCUGAGGAGCUUCCAGAAAGAUAGCUGCUGUACACCCUACACCCUUUCUUGAUUCCUUCCUGGAAUUCCAGCCCGGCCUCCGUCUUGGAGCACAAAGACAGCCUCAGGAUGGCCAAGUGAAGCUGAAAGAGAAUUAAUCCCUGAAGAUUUGGAGUGAAAUGGGUAUCAGCCCAACACUGUCUGUACUUGAACUUCUGCAGAAUUGGGAUCAAACUUGUAUUUUGUUUAUGCUAAUGUUAUCUGAGAAUUUUUUGUUAUGUGCUGCCAAGCCUGACUCUACUGACAUGUCAAGUAUUAAAAUUAGUAGGUAAAAAAAAAGAUAACAUAAAAGAUAAAGACAUGAUAUUUAUAAGAAGAGAACAAAAUUACAGAAAUAAAAUUAUAAGCCAAAUUAUCA
rnacentral:lncRNA from 1 species